UACGUAGGGUGCAAGCGUUUGUCCGGAAUUAUUGGGCGUAAAGAGCUCGUAGGCGGUUUGUUGCGUCGGCUGUGAAAUCCCGAGGCUCAACCUCGGGUCUGCAGUCGAUACGAGCAAACUAGAGUCAGUUGCAGGGGAGACUGGGAAUUCCUGGUGUAGCGGUGAAAUGACGCAGAUAUCAGGAGGAACACCGGUGGCGAAGGCGGGUCUCUGGGCAACAACUGACGCUGAGGAGCGAAAGCGUGGGGAGCGAACAGG
rnacentral:rRNA from 1 species